rnacentral:rRNA from 1 species
AUUGAACGCUGGCGGCAGGCCUAACACCUGCAAGUCGAACGAGUGGCGGACGGGUGAGUAAUGUCUGGGAAACUGCCCGCUGGAGGGGGAUAAAUACUGGAAACGGUAGCUAAUACCGCAUACCAUCGGAUGUGCCCAGAUGGGAUUCGCUAGUAGGUUGGGGAAUGGCUCACCUAAACGACGAUCCCUAACUGGUCUGAGAGGAUGACCAUCCACACUGGAACUGAGACACGGUCCAGACUCCGACGGUAGGCAGCAGUGGGGAAUAUUGCACAAUGGGCGCAAGCCUGAUGCAGCCAUGCCGAGUGUAUGAAGAAGGCCUUCGGGUUGUAAAGUACUUUCAGCGAGGAGGCGUUACUCGCAGAAGAAGCACCGGCUAACUCCGUGCCAGCAGCCGCGGUAAUAC